AGUUGUAGAAUCACUGGUGAAUAAGGGGUGGGCAAGUUCUGGUGUCAGCCGCCGCGGUAAAACCAGCACCUCGAGUGGUCAGGAGGUUUAUUGGGCCUAAAGCAUCCGUAGCCGGUUGCAUAAGUUUUCGGUUAAAUCUAUGCGCUUAACGUAUAGGCCGCCGAAAAUACUGUGCAGCUAGGGAGUGGGAGAGGUACACGGUACUCGAUAGGAAGGGGUAAAAUCCUUUGAUCUAUUGAUGACCACCUGUGGCGAAGGCGGUGUACCAGAACACGUUCGACGGUGAGGGAUGAAAGCUGGGGGAGCAAACCGGAUUAGAUACCCGGGUAGUCCCAGCUGUAAACGAUGCAGACUCGGUGAUGCAUUGGCUUGUGGCCAAUGCAGUGCCGCAGGGAAGCCGUUAAGUCUGCCGCCUGGGAAGUACGUACGCAAGUAUGAAACUUAAAGGAAUUGGCGGGGGAGCACCACAAGGGGUGAAGCCUGCGGUUCAAUUGGAGUCAACGCCAGAAAUCUUACCUGGGGAGACAGCAGAAUGAAGGUCAAGCUGAAGACUUUACCAGACACGCUGAGAGGUGGUGCAUGGCCGUCGCCAGCUCGUGCCGUGAGAUGUCCUGUUAAGUCAGGUAACGAGCGAGACCCCUGCGUCUAGUUGCUACCAUUACUCUCUGGAGCAGUGGAGCGAAUUAGGCGGACCGCCACAGUUAAUGUGGAGGAAGGAAGGGGCCACGGCAGGUCAGUAUGCCCCGAAACCCUAGGGCUACACGCGGGCUGCAAUGGUAUUGACAAUGUGUUCCGAAUCCGAAAGGAGGAGGCAAUCAUCAAACAUAUCUCAGUUAUGACUGAGGGC
rnacentral:rRNA from 1 species